AGUCAACAUGCCCAGGGGACGUGGAUAACCUCGGGAAACUGAGGAUAAACCGCGAUAGGUCAUCACUUCUGGAAUGGGUAAUGACUUAAAUCUACAUGGCCCCUGGAUUGGACUGCGGCCGAUCAGGCUGUUGGUGAGGUAAUGGCCCACCAAACCUGUAACCGGUACGGGCUCUGAGAGGAGGAGCCCGGAGAUGGGCACUGAGACAAGGGCCCAGGCCCUAUGGGGCGCAGCAGGCGCGAAACCUCUGCAAUAGGCGAAAGCUUGACAGGGUUACUCUGAGUGAUUUCCGUUAAGGAGAUCUUUUGGCACCUCUAAAAAUGGUGCAGAAUAAGGGGUGGGCAAGUCUGGUGUCAGCCGCCGCGGUAAUACCAGCACCCCGAGUGGUCGGGACGUUUAUUGGGCCUAAAGCAUCCGUAGCCGGUUCUACAAGUCUUCCGUUAAAUCCACCUGCUUAACAGAUGAGCUGCGGAAGAUACUAUAGAGCUAGGAGGCGGGAGAGGCAAGCGGUACUCGAUGGGUAGGGGUAAAAUCCGUUGAUCCAUUGAAGACCACCAGUGGCGAAGGCGGCUUGCCAGAACGCGCUCGACGGUGAGGGAUGAAAGCUGGGGGAGCAAACCGGAUUAGAUACCCGGGUAGUCCCAGCUGUAAACGAUGCAGACUCGGUGAUGAGUUGGCUUAUUGCUAACUCAGUGCCGCAGGGAAGCCGUUAAGUUUGCCGCCUGGGGAGUACGGUCGCAAGACUGAAACUUAA
rnacentral:rRNA from 1 species